AUCUUCCUGCAGUAGGGACUGGUGCGCAGAAUUUCGCUGUAAGGACAGAUUGCCUCAACUAAUAAAGUACGGAGAGGCCCCUGAUGCUAGGGGUGGAGCUGAGUUAAGCUAUUCGACUCGAGCUCGAUAUAUACUCGAUCAGAAGCUCGAGCUCGAACUCGCUUCAUCGAGCUCGAGCUCGAUCUCGAGCUGGAGCUCGAUCUCGAGCUGCUCGUUAGAGCUAUCGAGUCGAGCUCGAGCUCAGAAAUUUGAUACUCGAGAGCUCGACGAGCUCUAUCGAGUAUCACAUAAAAAAAUAAAAAAUAAAUUAUAUUUAAAAUUACUAAUAUAGGUAAAUAAAUUCUGAGAAAUUACGGGUGAGUACCCUUAUCGAGUCGAGCUCGAGCUUUUUAAGGACUCGAUCGAGCUCGAGCUCGAGCUGUGAUUCUCUGACUCGAUCGAACUCGAGCUCGAGCUCGAGCUGUGAUUCUCUGACUCGAUCGAACUCGAGCUCGAGCUCGAGCUGUGAUUCUCUGACUCGAUCGAACUCGAGCUCGAGCUCGAGUAUAAUUAUAUUAUAGCCGAGUCGAGCUCGAGUAUAGCGGUACUCGAGCUCGACUCGGCUCGAAUACACCCCUACCUGAUGCAGAACAACAAAAGGUGCAUAAUUCUGGAUUCAGCUCAUUGACAAAUGAAUGAAGAAUUAAUGUGGUUAACGUCAGCUAAAACUGAGAAAUUCAAUACAAGAAGCAACUUCUCCAGCAUCAAAGAGAUCUAAUCAUGAAAUUUGUAAGUCUCCAAUGUUUCUUCAUACAUUGAUCCACCUUUUGGCAAGAGCUCAAAGGCAAGUCUCCCAUUUCAUUUUC
rnacentral:lncRNA from 1 species